CAGCCGCGAAUGGCUCAUUACAACAGCCACUGUUUACUUGAUCUUGAUUAUCCUACUUGGAUAACUGUGGUAAUUCUAGAGCUAAUACACGCAAUAAAGCUCCGACCUUACGGGACGAGCGCAUUUAUUAGACCAAAACCAAUCGGGCCUCGGCCUGAACGGUGGUGACUCUGAAUAACUGAGCUGAUCGCAUGGUCUUUGUACCGGCGACGCAUCUUUCAAGUGUCUGCCUUAUCAACUUUCGAUGGUAGUUUAUGUGCCUACCAUGGUUGUUACGGGUAACGGAGAAUAAGGGUUCGACUCCGGAGAGGGAGCCUGAGAAACGGCUACCACAUCCAAGGAAGGCAGCAGGCGCGCAAAUUACCCACUCUCGGCACGAGGAGGUAGUGACGAAAAAUAACGAGGCGGUUCUCUAAGAGGCCCGCUAUCGGAAUGGGUACAAUUUAAA
rnacentral:rRNA from 1 species